UGGGGAAUUUUGCACAAUGGGGGAAACCCUGAUGCAGCGACGCCGCGUGAUUUAGAAGGCCUUCGGGUUGUAAAAAUCUUUUCUAUGGGAAGAAAAUGACAGUACCAUAGGAAUAAGGACCGGCUAAUUACGUGCCAGCAGCCGCGGUAAUACGUAAGGUCCGAGCGUUGUCCGGAAUCAUUGGGCGUAAAGGGUACGUAGGCGGGUAAGCAAGUUAGAAGUGAAAUCCUAUAGCUCAACUAUAGUAAGCUUUUAAAACUGCUCAUCUUGAGGUAUGGAAGGGAAAGUGGAAUUCCUAGUGUAGCGGUAAAAUGCGCAGAUAUUAGGAGGAAUACCGGUGGCGAAGGCGACUUUCUGGCCAUAACCUGACGCUGAGGUACGAAAGCGUGGGUAGCAAACAGG
rnacentral:rRNA from 2 species